rnacentral:rRNA from 1 species
UGGGGAAUUUUCCGCAAUGGGCGAAAGCCUGACGGAGCAAUACCGCGUGAGGGACGACGGCCUUGGGGUUGUAAACCUCUUUUAUCAAGGAGGAAGUUCUGACGUGUACUUGAUGAAUAAGCAUCGGCUAACUCCGUGCCAGCAGCCGCGGUAAGGCGGAGGAUGCAAGUGUUGUCCGGAAUCACUGGGCGUAAAGCGUCUGUAGGUGGUUUAAAAAGUCUGCUGUUAAAAGUUGAAGCUUAACUUCAAAGAUGCCGUAGAAACUUUUUAAACUUGAGGAUGGUAGGGGUAGAGGGAAUUUCCAGUGGAGCGGUGAAAUGCGUAGAUCUUGGAAAGACCACCAAUGGCGAAGGCACUCUACUGGGGCCAUUACUGACACUGAGAGACGAAAGCUAGGGGAGCAAAUGGGAUUAGAUACCCCAGUAGUCCUAGCUGUAAACGAUGGGAUACUAGAUGUUGCGUGUAUUGACCCAUGCAGUAUCGUAGCUAACGCGUUAAGUAUCCCGCCUGGGAAG